rnacentral:misc_RNA from 1 species
UUUUAGGUUUCUCUAGCAGCAAAGAAACAGUUACACAUCCAGGUAGGCCUUUUCACACCAGUGACAUUGCUUGCUGUCAGCAUGGCUUCAGAAACUCAAGAAACUACACCAGCAGCCAGCAGUGAAAUUUUAAACUUCAAAGAAAUUUUUGAAAAAGCUGACCAACUUCACACAGCUUAUGAAACUUGUAAAUUAUAUGAUCUUUUGAAACCAUAUCAGAAUUGCGAAGAUGAUCAGUUGCUGUGGCGUCUAUCUCGGGCGGCAUAUGACAAAGCAAAGAGAGAACACAACAAAGAUGCACGGAAAACAUUCAUGUAUGAGUCUUUUGGUUAUGCUAAAAGAGCUCUUGCUCUAAAUGACAAGAACUAUGCAUGUCACAAGUGGUAUGCGAUUCUUCUCGAUGAAAUUGGUCAAUAUGAAGGUUUGAAAAUUCGAAUUUCAAAUGCUUAUUUAAUAAAAGAACAUCUAUUGAAAGCUGUUGAAUUUAAUCCAAAUGAUGCAACUUGUUGGCAUUCGUUAGGUUACUGGUGUUUCAUGUUUGCUGAUAUGCCAUGGUAUCAACAAAAGGUUGCUAGUGCACUGUUUGCUACUCCACCUACAUCAACCUAUGAAGAGGCCAAGAAGUAUUUUCUAAAAGCAGAAGAAAGUACAAGGUCAGCAAUCUUUGAAGGGAGACGGUUAAACAAGGUCAUUGACCUCAGCAUUUGACUGGCGUUUUGUUUUACUUACCCUGGAAAGAUGAAAGGUGAUACUGACCUCGGCAAGGUUUGAGCUCAGAACAUGGAGAGUUGCGACACUGACCACAGCAGGGUUUGAGCUCAGAGUGUGAACAGCUGUUACAAAUACCACAAGUUGAUCCUAAUUUUUACAGUAUGAAUUUAGCUAUGCUUGGCAAAACACUGGUGCGCCUAAAUGAAAAUGAUGACGCUCGUAAAUAUCU